CCAGACUCCUACGGGAGGCAGCAGUGGGGAAUAUUGGGCAAUGGGCGCAAGCCUGACCCAGCAACGCCGCGUGAAGGAAGAAGGCUCUCGGGUUGUAAACUUCUUUUAUCAGGGACGAAGCAAGUGACGGUACCUGAUGAAUAAGCCACGGCUAACUACGUGCCGGCAGCCGCGGUAAUACGUAGGUGGCAAGCGUUAUCCGGAUUUACUGGGUGUAAAGGGCGUGUAGGCGGGAAAGCAAGUCAGAUGUGAAAACUAUGGGCUCAACCGAUAGAGUGCAUUUGAAACUGCAGUUCUUGAGUGAUGGAGAGGCAGGCGGAAUUCCUAGUGUAGCGGUGAAAUGCGUAGAUAUUAGGAGGAACACCAGUGGCGAAGGCGGCCUGCUGGACGACAACUGACGGUGAGGCGCGAAAGCGUGGGGAGCAAACAGGAUUAGAUACCCGUGUA
rnacentral:rRNA from 1 species